GGGUCAGUAGGUUGGUCGUGCCACCGGUACGUACUGGUCUCACUGAUUACUCCUUCCUGAAGAACCGUAAUGCCAUUAAUUUGGUGUUGCGGGGAAACAGGACUGUUACUUUGAAAAAAUUAGAGUGUUUAAAGCAAGCUAACGCUUGAAUACAUUAGCAUGUAAUAAUGAAAUAGGACGAUCGAUCCUAUUUUGUUGGUUUCUAGGAUUGACGUA
rnacentral:rRNA from 1 species